rnacentral:rRNA from 1 species
GUGCCAGCAGCCGCGGUAAUACGAAGGGGGCUAGCGUUGCUCGGAAUCACUGGGCGUAAAGGGCGCGUAGGCGGACUCUUAAGUCGGGGGUGAAAGCCCAGGGCUCAACCCUGGAAUUGCCUUCGAUACUGAGAGUCUCGAGUUCGGAAGAGGUUGGUGGAACUGCGAGUGUAGAGGUGAAAUUCGUAGAUAUUCGCAAGAACACCAGUGGCGAAGGCGGCCAACUGGUCCGAUAACUGAUCGCUGAGGGCGCGAAAGCGUGCGGGAGCAAACAGGAUUAGAUACCCUGGUAGUCC